CUAAACCCUACUUUAGCAUCCAGAAUCCAGUUGCGGUUCUAGUUCUUAUACUCAAUGAUACACAAAGCAUCUAGUCAUAAUUGACUACAAAUACGCUAACCAAGCUUCUUGAUUCUCAAAGCUUUGAUGGAGAAGCCGAAGUUCUAAUGAGUUUUUGGUUUUGAAU
rnacentral:sRNA from 1 species